AUUGAACGCUGGCGGAAUGCUUUACACAUGCAAGUCGAACGGCAGCACGGACUUCGGUCUGGUGGCGAGUGGCGAACGGGUGAGUAAUGUAUCGGAACGUGCCCAGUCGUGGGGGAUAACGUAGUGAAAAUUACGCUAAUACCGCAUACGAUCUAUGGAUGAAAGCGGGGGAUCGCAAGACCUCGCGCGAUUGGAGCGGCCGAUAUCAGAUUAGGUAGUUGGUGGGGUAAAGGCUCACCAAGCCAACGAUCUGUAGCUGGUCUGAGAGGACGACCAGCCACACUGGAACUGAGACACGGUCCAGACGCCUACGGGAGGCAGCAGUGGGGAAUUUUGGACAAGGGGCGAGAGCCUGAUCCAGCCAUUCCGCGUGCAGGAUGAAGGCCCUCGGGUUGUAAACUGCUUUUGUACAGAACGAAAAGGUUUCUACUAAUACUAGGAGCUCAUGACGGUACUGUAAGAAUAAGCACCGGCUAACUACGUGCCAGCCGCCGCCGUAA
rnacentral:rRNA from 1 species